UUCUAGUUUGUAUUAUCAUCGUUAUCGCCGAAAAAUUGGAGGUAGUUGAGCCCAUAUGUUAGGUCUCAGUCAAAGCUUACGAUGAUUAAGCAAGUUUUACCUUGGGUGAGAACAAACCACAGGAAGUUACAAAGAAAUUCCCAUAGGAAGUUACUAAGAAAUUUGCCACCUUCUUCUCCGUUUAAACUGAUCAAAAAUACAAGAGAUAAAAAAACUGCUCCUACUUUUGUCUUAGGAAAAAUUAAAAAAACAAUUACUAAAUGAAAAAGUAAAACUCGACAGUUGUGAACUGCUCUAUUAGUCACGUGCUAAUCCAAAUAUUUUGGAUUCCUUUUGGGUACCCUUUAAGAUUUUCUUAUCCUAUCAUCACCCACCCCUGAGACUGGAACCUUGUCCUCAAGGUGAAGAUUAACGAAUUUCUCCUGUAGUUCCUUGGUAUUUUCCCAUGUCGCAUCAUCAGCAGGUAGCCCUUUUCACUUAAUCAAGCUCUCCUCCAUCAAUUUUGAACCUUGGUGGAUCCAACGGUGGUCUAAAAUUGCCUCAGGUUCCAGUAGUAAGUUCCCCUCAUCUGCUACAUGUGGUAACUCAGUGCAAACAGUAGUAUCAUCACCAAUUUUUUUUCUUGAGGAGAGACACAUGAAAGACCGGGUGAAUUCGUGAAGUAGACAGUAGCUUAAGCUUAUAAGCCACUUUGCUGAUUUUCUCUUCUAUAGGAUAGGGCCCAUAAAACCUGCUUGCAAGCUUCUGGUAUGCUCUCUUGAAGACCGACUGUUGACGGUAGGGUUGAAGUUUCAGAAACACCAAAUCUCCCACAUGGAAUUCAAUGUCCCUCCUGUGCGAGUCAGCCUGCUGUUUCAUUCGGUUGACUGAGGCCAGUAAAUUUUCUUUAAGAUGUCGCAAUAUAGCAUCCCUGGAGGCUAAAAUUUUGUCAACUUCAUGUACUGGCAUUUACCGUCCUGGUAGUGCGGAAUCACGGGAGGGGUUCGACCAUAGAAAGUUUCAAAUGGAGUCAUCCCGGUCGAGAUAUGGUACGUAGUAUUAUACCAAAACUCAGCCCAAGAAAGAAAAGAGUGCCACUUGCGGGGUUGCUGGUGAACGAAGCAUCGAAGGUACUGCUCAAGGCAACGAUUGACAACAUCUAACUGGCCGUCGGUUUGAGGAUGAGCGCUAAGCACGCCGAGAGCAGGGCACACACUUCUAGAAGGUGGCAACGCAGACCACAGAGAAGCCGACACAUGAAACUAAACGGAAGGGGAGACGUAGCCUUAAGUGUGUGAUGCACACCUAGAAAGGUGCAAUGCACAUGGUCAAAAUCUGCUUAUAAAAGGGUAGCAACCCCUCAUUCCAUUCAUCACAUUUUUCCAACUUCUCUCUACGAUUCUCUGAGAUUUUAGCCCAAUUUUCCCCUAGAUUUUAGAUGAUUUUAGCGAACACCUGAGUCGUCGAAGAGAUAGAGUGUUUGGGUCGAAGUUCUGUCUGCGAACUACUCGGACUCUUGUCAGAAACCUCUUUAAGUUAAACUACGCUUAUUAUGUUUCAAGUGUAACAUAUAUUUAUGUUCAUAGUCGUUAUUAUGAACUUAUAAAUAAGAUUUAUCAGUGAUUUUAAGUCAUUAUACUAAUUGAUCUUCUUA